UGAUAUAAACUAACACACAAAUUAAACCCUCUUUUUUGAUAGUUGUAGUAUGGAUAAUUAGGGAUCGUUCUAGGCCGGGGAUUAGGAGGGACUGCUAAUCUACUCAAAUUAAACUCAGUUACACUUAACUAGACUCUUAUGACUCAAACUACUCAAAACUAUACAAAACAAACAAAUUGACUCAAAACUAACACUAAGGAUGACUUUGGACGAAAAUUGAACUAAAAAGACUCAAAACAAUGUGUAUGGACGAAUCCUAACUUAUCUUGACUCAAAAUACUAAAAAGAAACCAGUUUGGAUAUAUUCUAACUAAACGACAUGAAAUAUAAAGGGGGGAGUGGUUUUUGACGAAUUUAAAAUAAAAACAAACAGAUUUAAAGACUCUAAACUACUUUGGACAAAAUUGGGUGUUUUAAUAGGUGAAUGGCUAGCUAGAGGGUCCUUCAUGUUUGCAAUUAAACAGAGACAAUUAAAAUUAAACAUUGAAAACAAAAGAUAGAAUACACCUAGAAACGCUCCAACAAUCCAAAGGUCUUGAAUGGCAGGCACAGCUCCAAGCUUCUUCUUCUCCUUCCUUGCAAAGCUGCGGCAACCUUUGUAUUUUUAUGUAUGAAUUUCUCUCUAAAAACUCUCUUUCAAAACCACGGCAAGGGUGAGUAUUUAUAGGCUAGGGCACGGCACAAAGUUGUAGAGGAGAAUGACUAGGUGAGGCAGAUUCCUAGGGGGAAAGGGAUAGGGUGGUUCUGCACAAAUCUUCUAAAACCAGGAUUUUAGGUAUCCUAAUCUGAAAAUAAUUCCCCCUUACAGCUAGAAUCUAGGUAGAAUAGGAUUAGGAUAAGGUUAGGAUAAGAUAAGAUAAGGUUUGUUUGGAUAAUGUUAGAUAAGAUAAGGUUGGUUAAGAUAAUGUUCCUUCCUUUUAGCUGAUUCCUUAUCUUCCAAGUCUUGAAUUAAUUUCUCCAUCUCUUUAGCACAUUCCUAGCCUCUUUUGAUCUUCAAAAACGUCAUCCACCUUGCUUCAUACACAUGCUAUCCAUUCCAAGUGCAAAACUGCUCUAAAAUGCUCCAAAUUGCCUUUUCUUGCCACUUUUGCCAAUUGAACCUACAAACACAUGAAAAUAGCUUAAAUCACUAUAAUAAAUAGAAACUAACUCACUAAAUGCAAAGAAACAAGCUAACAAAGUAGCAUAAAUAUGCUCCUAUCUGAGACUGGUGAGGCGUCAGGGACGGUAGAGCCGAUGAAGAUGACGUAGA
rnacentral:lncRNA from 1 species